rnacentral:rRNA from 1 species
UGGGGAAUAUUGCACAAUGGAGGGAACUCUGAUGCAGCGACGCCGCGUGAACGAAGAAGGCUUUCGAGUCGUAAAGUUCUUUUAUAUGGGAAGAUAAUGACGGUACCAUAAGAAAAAGCCCCGGCUAACUACGUGCCAGCAGCCGCGGUAAUACGUAGGGGGCUAGCGUUGUCCGGAAUCACUGGGCGUAAAGGGUUCGCAGGCGGAAAUGCAAGUCAGAUGUAAAAGGCAGUAGCUUAACUACUGUAAGCAUUUGAAACUGCAUAUCUUGAGAAGAGUAGAGGUAAGUGGAAUUUUUAGUGUAGCGGUGAAAUGCGUAGAUAUUAAAAAGAAUACCGGUGGCGAAGGCGACUUACUGGGCUCAUUCUGACGCUGAGGAACGAAAGCGUGGGUAGCAAAC